UGUUAGCGGCGGACGGGUGAGUAACACGUGGGUAACCUGCCUGUAAGACUGGGAUAACUCCGGGAAACCGGAGCUAAUACCGGAUAGUUCCUUGAACCGCAUGGUUCAAGGAUGAAAGACGGUUUCGGCUGUCACUUACAGAUGGACCCGCGGCGCAUUAGCUAGUUGGUGGGGUAAUGGCUCACCAAGGCGACGAUGCGUAGCCGACCUGAGAGGGUGAUCGGCCACACUGGGACUGAGACACGGCCCAGACUCCUACGGGAGGCAGCAGUAGGGAAUCUUCCGCAAUGGACGAAAGUCUGACGGAGCAACGCCGCGUGAGUGAUGAAGGUUUUCGGAUCGUAAAGCUCUGUUGUUAGGGAAGAACAAGUGCGAGAGUAACUGCUCGCACCUUGACGGUACCUAACCAGAAAGCCACGGCUAACUACGUGCCAGCAG
rnacentral:rRNA from 1 species